GUAAGGAGGCAAACCAGGACCCCAUCCCUCCAGACGGGUGAUGUAAGACUGACGGGGACAGAUGCCUCCACUUUGCUGUUGCAGCAGCCCUGAUGGUCGGCCUGUUGGAUCACCCUGCCCUGGGAAUGGUGGAUGGGCGUCACUGGGCCACGUGUGUUGUCAAGUAGAGGGGAGAGCUUUCUCACCGUGUGUGUCGUGUGACCACUGAGUGGGCUGCCCAGAAAAGGAGUGCCUGGUCCUUGGUGUCUUCCCACCCACACGAGGCAAAUGCUGCCCCGAGUCCUUCUGAUUCAUAAGAGCUCCUUGAAAGUCACAGCUGCUUUAUUGGGUCCUUGUAUGCCUGGCACCAAGGCUUCACUGGUGGCUCAGAUGGUAAAGAAUCUGCCUGCAAUGGGGGAGACCCAGCUUCGAGCUCUGGGUCAGGAAAGUCCCCUGGAGAAGGGCAACCCACUCCAGUAUUCUUGCCUGGAGAAUCCCAUGGACAGAGGAGUCUGGCAGGCUGCAGUCCAUAGGGUGGCAAAGAGUUGGACACAACUGAAC
ensembl:lncRNA